rnacentral:rRNA from 1 species
AUUGAACGCUGGCGGCAUGCUUUACACAUGCAAGUCGAACGGCAGCACGGGUGCUUGCACCUGGUGGCGAGUGGCGGACGGGUGAGUAAUACAUCGGAACGUAUCCAGAAGAGGGGGAUAACGCAUCGAAAGAUGUGCUAAUACCGCAUAUUCUCUGAGGAGGAAAGCAGGGGAUCGCAAGACCUUGCGCUUUUGGAGCGGCUGAUGUCUGAUUAGCUAGUUGGUGGGGUAAAGGACCUACCAAGGCGACGAUCAGUAGUUGGUCUGAGAGGACGACCAGCCACACUGGGACUGAGACACGGCCCAGACUCCUACGGGAGGCAGCAGUGGGGAAGUCUUAGACAAUGGGCGCAAGCCUGAUCUAGCCAUGCCGCGUGGACGAUGAAGGACCUCGUC